UAAACGACGCAUAUUUUAAUUGACAAGGGGAUCCACGCAUAUUUACCCCCAAAUCGAAGCCCACUAUUCACACUUCACCUUCGAUUAAUCUUCAAAACCCACCUCUGGCGAUUGUGUCUUCUCCUCCGCCCACCUCUCUCGAAGCCCCCCUCUCACUGUCUCUCUCGUUAGGUUCUUCACAGGUACAUCCGCAUCUGUCUCCCUCUCUAUCUAUCUCUCUCUCUCUCUCUCUCUCUCUCUCUCUCUCUCUCUCUCUCUCUCUCUCUCUGUCUCUCGUCGCCAACUGUACCCUGAGAACGUCACCGGUCCCUAAGCCAAAAAUGGAAGAGAACAUCAAAACACCGACCAGGUUUCCCUUUUAACCAAAAUGACAAUUGGUUAGCCACUACCAGUACGAAUUCAUUGUUUGUUGUGGUCUUGUCUUUUGUGUCUUUGAUUCCCCAUCUCUCCAUCGCAAGGUCUUCCUUUGUCGACUUGGUUCAUUACAGUGCCCUAGCCAGGUUUCGUGAUGAUUUUGCUUUUAUCCGUAGAAGACAGAAAUAUCGAAAUAAGAAACUCUGGGGUGUUGUGAAGCCACUGAAAUCCUUGCAGCCUUAUGCCAACCCUAGAAACAACUACGUAGAUCUGUGAUCUGAUCAUCAUAUUCAGGCUUUUAAAUGCUACUUUUGUCAUUCCAGAGAUUCAAGAGACUACACGCUCAAAAGGUGUCAGAAUGAAGUGAGUGAGACUUACACUGGUGAUGGCUCUGUUGAUGCAAAAGGAAAGCCAACAGUGAAGCAAAAUACUGAAUAUUGGAGAGCAUGUUGGUUCAUUAUAGGUAAAGGAAAGGCUAAGGCUGAACAGGAGUGAACCCGAGCUCAGAUGGGAUUGUACAUGUCAAGCAGCGCGACCUGGAGUGUUCAGUCUCGGGACAUCUGGGAUUUGUAUUUUGAAAGUCGUUGUGCGACCAGUAAAUUUGUGUAUUUUGAAAUGUAUAUUUUGGAAAGUAAAUUUUACAAAGUUUGAAAACGGGAUCCCGACACUUGUAAAUAUUUUAUUAUAUUACAAAGUUUAAUAUUUAAUGCAAAAGUUUUAAUUUGACA